CCUACGGGCGGCAGCAGUGGGGAAUAUUGCGCAAUGGGCGAAAGCCUGAUGCAGCGAUGCCGCGUGAGGGAUGAAGGUCUUCGGAUCGUAAACCUCUUUCAGCAGGGAGGAACGGACUCUGUGCUACUCAGCAGCGCAUUGACGGUACCUGCAAAGGAAGCACCGGCUAACUCCGUGCCAGCAGCCGCGGUAAUACGGAGGGUGCGAGCGUUAAUCGGAAUUACUGGGCGUAAAGCGCUCGCAGGCGGUAUGUUAAGUCAGGGGUGAAAUCCACGGGCUCAACGUGGGAACUGCAUUUGAAACUGGCAAGCUGGAGUGUGGUAGAGGAGAGUAGAAUUCCAGGUGUAGGAGUGAAAUCCGUAGAUAUCUGGAGGAACAUCAGUGGCGAAGGCGACUAUCUGGCACAUAACUGACGCUCAGGAGCGAAAGCGUGGGUAGCAAACAGGAUUAGAUACCCUGGUAGUC
rnacentral:rRNA from 1 species